AGGGUUUGACAUGAUACGAAUUUCUUUGAAAGAAGAAAGUGCCGUUGGAGCGUAUACAC
rnacentral:rRNA from 1 species